GGAUAUUAUCAUUAACUGAAUACAUAGGUUAAUGAGGCGAACCGGGAGAACUGAAACAUCUCAGUACCCCCGAGGAAAAGAAAUCAACCGAGAUUCCCCCUAGUAGCGGCGAGCGAACGGGGAGCAGCCCAGAGUCUUAAUCAAUAGCAGCAUCAGGAGAACGGUCUGGAAAGUCCGGCAGUAAAGGGUGAUAGCCCCCGUAUCCGAAGAUGCUGUUAUUGUGAACUCGACGAGUAGGGCGGGACACGUGUUAUCCUGUCUGAAUAUGGGGGGGACCAUCCUCCAAGGCUAAAU
rnacentral:rRNA from 1 species